CCUGCAUGAAGUCGGAAUUGCUAGUAAUCGUAGGUCAGCAUACUACGGUGAAUACGUUCCCGGGCCUUGUACACACCGCCCGUCAAACCAUGAGAGUUGGCAACACCCGAAGUCGGUAGUCUAACCGCAAGGAGGACGCCGCCGAAGGUGGGGUUGAUGAUUGGGGUGAAGUCGUAACAAGGUAAC
rnacentral:rRNA from 1 species